GGAGAAGUGGCAGAGUUGGUCUAUUGCGUUUGAUUUGAAAUCAGAAGAACUGAAAGGUUCCGUGGGUUCGAAUCCUACCUUCUCCG
rnacentral:tRNA from 1 species